rnacentral:rRNA from 1 species
UUAGGCGGACGGGUGGAGUAACGACGUGGAAAACCGUAGCCGUAUACUGGGGAGGUAACACUUAGAAUAAGUGCUAAUACCGCAUAAGCGCACAGCUUCGCAUGAAGCGGUGUGAAAAACUCUGGUGGUAUACGAUGGUUCCGCGUCUGAUUAGCUAGUUGGUGGGGUAAUGGCCUACCAAGGCAACGAUCAGUAGCCGGCCUGAGAGGGUGAACGGCCACAUUGGGACUGAGACACGGCCCAAACUCCUACGGAAGGCAGCAG